rnacentral:tRNA from 2 species
GCACCUGUAACUCAGUGGAUAGAGUAUUCGGCUACGAACCGAACGGACGGAGGUUCGAAUCCUCCCAGGUGUA